UUGCUCCCUGAAGUCAGCGGCGGACGGGUGAGUAACACGUGGGCAACCUGCCUGUAAGACUGGGAUAACUCCGGGAAACCGGGGCUAAUACCGGAUAAUUCUUUCCCUCACAUGAGGGAAAGCUGAAAGAUGGUUUCGGCUAUCACUUACAGAUGGGCCCGCGGCGCAUUAGCUAGUUGGUGAGGUAACGGCUCACCAAGGCAACGAUGCGUAGCCGACCUGAGAGGGUGAUCGGCCACACUGGGACUGAGACACGGCCCAGACUCCUACGGGAGGCAGCAGUAGGGAAUCUUCCGCAAUGGACGAAAGUCUGACGGAGCAACGCCGCGUGAGUGAUGAAGGUUUUCGGAUCGUAAAACUCUGUUGUUAGGGAAGAACAAGUACCGGAGUAACUGCCGGUACCUUGACGGUACCUAACCAGAAAGCCACGGCUAACUACGUGCCAGCAGCCGCGGUAAUACGUAGGUGGCAAGCGUUGUCCGGAAUUAUUGGGCGUAAAGCGCGCGCAGGCGGUUCCUUAAGUCUGAUGUGAAAGCCCCCGGCUCAACCGGGGAGGGUCAUUGGAAACUGGGGAACUUGAGUGCAGAAGAGAAGAGUGGAAUUCCACGUGUAGCGGUGAAAUGCGUAGAGAUGUGGAGGAACACCAGUGGCGAAGGCGACUCUUUGGUCUGUAACUGACGCUGAGGCGCGAAAGCGUGGGGAGCAAACAGGAUUAGAUACCCUGGUAGUCCACGCCGUAAACGAUGAGUG
rnacentral:rRNA from 2 species